ensembl:scaRNA
AGUCACCUUUGAAAAAGGCAGGUCCCCCAGCAGCCCAUUUUUUUUUUCCUCCUAUCACAUUUAAGUCAUGUGUAUGGGAUCAUGAAGCAGGUGAUAAUUUGGGAUUUUGUCAGUGUGUGUUUCUGAGAGUGAAUACAGAACCAGUUACACAGGAGAUUGAGGAGUGGCUGUCAUGGCUGUGACAGUGCAUGAUCUCAAGGUUUCAAUCUGCGACC